rnacentral:ncRNA from 1 species
UUGGUCCUAAACUUGCCAUCGUUUUUAAUAAAAAUUACACAUGCAAGCUUCAACACACCAGUGAGAAUGCCCACAAACCCCUAAUCAGUUUACAGGAGCAGGCAUCAGGAACACCCAUUGUUUGCCUACAACGCCUUGCUACGCCACACCCACAAGGGCCUUCAGCAGUGAGAAGUAUUAAGAAAUAAGCGAAAGCUUGACUUAGUUAUUAUUAAAAUGGUCGGUAAAUCUCGUGCCAGCCACCGCGGUUAUACGAAAGACCAAAAACAACGGCCCACGGCGUAAAGAGUGAUAAAAGAAACACCGUCUAUUUAAGGGGAAACUACAACAAAGUUGUAAAAUACUACUGACUGCAAGAACCACAACAACAAAAUGCCUUUAAACCACUUAACCUCACGAAAGCUAAGAAACAAACUGGGAUUAGAUACCCCACUAUGCCUAGCCGUCAACAAAAACAGUCUAAAAUACAAUACUGUUCGCCAGAGAACUACAAGCUAAAGCUUAAAACUCCAAGGACUUGGCGGUGCUCCACAUCACCCUAGAGGAGCCUGUCCUAUAAUCGAUACCCCCCGAUCUACCUCACCACUUUUUGUAAACCCAGCCUAUAUACCGCCGUCGUCAGCCUACCUUAUGAAAGAAAUAUAGUAGGCAAAAUAGUCACCAACUAAAACGUCAGGUCAAGGUGUAGCACAUAAAAUGGAAGAGAUGGGCUACACUCUCUCCCUCAGAGAACACGAACAGCAUCAAUGAAACACUGCUCAAAGGUGGAUUUAGUAGUAAGACGGGCAAGAGAGCCCAUCUUAAACCUGCCCUGGAGCGCGCACACACCGCCCGUCACCCUCAUCA